GACGAACGCUGGCGGCGUGCUUAACACAUGCAAGUCGAGCGGUAAGGCCCUUUCGGGGGUACACGAGCGGCGAACGGGUGAGUAACACGUGGGUGACCUGCCCUCAGCUCUGGGAUAAGCCUGGGAAACCGGGUCUAAUACUGGAUAUGACUCCAUGACGCAUGUUGUGGGGUGGAAAGCCUUGUGCGGCUGAGGAUGGGCCCGCGGCCUAUCAGCUUGUUGGUGGGGUGANGGCCUACCAAGGCGACGACGGGUAGCCGGCCUGAGAGGGCGACCGGCCACACUGGGACUGAGACACGGCCCAGACUCCUACGGGAGGCAGCAGUGGGGAAUCUUGCGCAAUGGGCGAAAGCCUGACGCAGCGACGCCGCGUGAGGGAUGACGGCCUGUGUAACU
rnacentral:rRNA from 1 species